UACGUAGGGACCAAGCGUUGUUCGGAUUUACUGGGCGUAAAGGGCGCGUAGGCGGCUUAACAAGUCACUUGUGAAAUCUCCGGGCUUAACUCGGAACGGCCAAGUGAAACUGUCAAGCUAGAGUGCAGAAGGGGCAAUCGGAAUUCUUGGUGUAGCGGUGAAAUGCGUAGAUAUCAAGAGGAACACCUGAGGUGAAGACGGGUCGCUGGGCUGACACUGACGCUGAGGCGCGAAAGCCAGGGGAGCAAACAGG
rnacentral:rRNA from 1 species